rnacentral:rRNA from 1 species
GGAUGUAAUCGUCUUGUUGUUAAAUCGGGGAAUAUGGAAGUGAUUGACACAAUGAAGAAUGGAGGACACUCAGCGGGAGCGGCGGCUGCAAUUUUUGAUGAUUGUUAUUUUUUGGCUUGUGAUUUUCCUCUUAUUAGAUUUGAACAUUGUAAUAGAGAAGCAAAUAAGAUGGUGCACGAAAUUGCUAGGCUAGCAAAAUUUUCUGUAAGUAGGGUUUCAUUUGAGGAGCCUAUGAAUGAUAUUGUAUCUUUUCUUAUGGGCGAUAUAACAAUUAUUUCUAAUUAA